rnacentral:rRNA from 1 species
UACGUAGGUGACGAGCGUUAUCCGGAAUUACUGGGCGUAAAGCGCACGCAUGCGGUUGGACAAGUCUGGCGUGAAAUCUCCUGGCUUAACUAGGAGCGGUCGCUGGAAACUGUCGAGCUUGAGGCGAUGAGAGGGGUGCAGAAUUCCCGGUGUAGUGGUGGAAUGCGUAGAGAUCGGGAGGAAUACCAGUGGCGAAAGCGGCACCCUGGCGUCGUACUGACGCACAUGUGCGAAAGCGUGGGGAGCGAACGGG